rnacentral:tRNA from 1 species
AGGCACGUAGCUCAGGGGUUAGAGUACUACCUCGACACGGUAGGGGUCGGCGGUUCGAGACCGCCCGUGCCUACCA